rnacentral:ncRNA from 1 species
UAUCUUUGCGCACGAAUUAGGAAAGUCUUGAUUCAUACAUAAUAAUUAUUUAAAUAAUAUUGGAAUG